rnacentral:antisense_RNA from 1 species
CUUCACCGAUCCCAGCCACAGCGGCACGUCGCGGUCCUGGCCGUAGGUCGCGAGCAGCGCCUGCGCCUC